UAGUAACGGCGAGUGAAGCGGGAAGAGCUCAAGCUUAAAAUCUCCGCGCAAGUUUUGCGCGGCGAAUUGUAGUCUAUAGAGGCGUGGUCAGCGUGGGCGCUUGGGGCAAGUUCCUUGGAAGAGGACAGCAUGGAGGGUGAUACUCCCGUUCAUCCCUGAGUGGCUCGUGCGUACGACCCGUGUUCUUUGAGUCGCGUUGUUUGGGAAUGCAGCGCAAAGUAGGUGGUAAAUUCCAUCUAAAGCUAAAUAUUGGUGCGAGACCGAUAGCGAACAAGUACCGUGAGGGAAAGAUGAAAAGAACUUUGAAAAGAGAGUUAAAGAGUACCUGAAACUGCUGAAAGGGAACCGAAUCGUUUCCAGUGUCUAUAAUCUGUGGCAUAUUUCAUUGGCGAGUGUGCGCGUGCGUGUGCUGUGGCAGUGGCUUUUUUGGCUGCGCUCGGUGUGUGUGCUGUGUGUGCUUGCUGGUGCCCUGUGCUGCGGUGGGACGUCAAGGUCAGUUCGUAUGCUGCGGGAAAUGGCUGCCGAGGAGGUAGGGCUUACGCUCCGCGUUUGUCUGUUAUAUCUUGGUGGACGAGUCGUCGCGGUUGGGACUGAGGUGCCUACAACGUGCUUUUGAGUGAGUUUGUGUCUCCGUGUGCGCCGUGUGCGGAUAGCUUGCUAUGCGUGUGUGGUUGUGUGUGGAUUGAUGCGGGCUUUAACUUGUCGCCGUUC
rnacentral:rRNA from 2 species